rnacentral:tRNA from 1 species
GCCCACGUGGCGGAAUUGGCAGACGCGCUAGAUUCAGGUUCUAGUCCCAGAAAUGGGGUACAGGUUCAACUCCUGUCGUGGGCACCA